rnacentral:rRNA from 1 species
AUUGAACGCUGGCGGAAUGCUUUACACAUGCAAGUCGAGCGGCAGCGCGGGGGCAACCCUGGCGGCGAGCGGCGAACGGGUGAGUAACAUAUCGGAACGUACCCCGUCGUGGGGGAUAACACAGCGAAAGCUGUGCUAAUACCGCAUACGACCUGAGGGUGAAAGCGGGGGAUCGCAAGACCUCGCGCGAUGGGAGCGGCCGAUAUCGGAUUAGCUUGUUGGUGAGGUAAAGGCUCACCAAGGCGACGAUCCGUAGCUGGUCUGAGAGGACGACCAGCCACACUGGAACUGAGACACGGUCCAGACUCCUACGGGAGGCAGCAGUGGGGAAUUUUGGACAAUGGGGGCAACCCUGAUCCAGCCAUUCCGCGUGAGUGAAGAAGGCCUCGG